GACGAACGCUGGCGGCGUGCUUAACACAUGCAAGUCGAACGGUAAGGCCCUUCGGGGUACACGAGUGGCGAACGGGUGAGUAACACGUGGGUGAUCUGCCCUGCACUUCGGGAUAAGCCUGGGAAACUGGGUCUAAUACCGGAUAGGACCACUGCCUGCAUGGGUGGUGGUGGAAAGCUUUUGCGGGGUGGGAUGGGCCCGCGGCCUAUCAGCUUGUUGGUGGGGUGAUGGCCUACCAAGGCGACAACGGGUAGCCGGCCUGAGAGGGUGACCGGCCACACUGGGACUGAGAUACGGCCCAGACUCCUACGGGAGGCAGCAGUGGGGAAUAUUGCACAAUGGGCGCAGGCCUGAUGCAGCGACGCCGCGUGAGGGAUGACGGCCUUCGGGUUGUAAACCUCUUUCAGCACCGACGAAGCGCAAGUGACGGUAGGUGCAGAAGAAGGACCGGCCAACUACGUGCCAGCAGCCGCCGUAA
rnacentral:rRNA from 1 species